GUCAUGGUCUGCGCAGAUGGUUGCCCGCCCUGCUCCGGCAGGAACGGCAUGAAAAGGGAACGUGGUGUAAAUCCACGACUGCCCCCGCAACUGUAAGCGAAGAGCCCUUCGGCAGAACCACUGGCCCCGCGCCGGGAAGGUCCGAAACGGCAAAGACACGCGAGUCAGGAGACCUGCCAUCUAAGCAAUGCAAAC
rnacentral:ncRNA from 2 species